rnacentral:rRNA from 1 species
GAUGAACGCUAGCGGCAGGCUUAAUACAUGCAAGUCGUGGGGCAGCAGGGGUAGCAAUACCCGCUGGCGACCGGCAAACGGGUGCGGAACACGUACGCAACCUUCCUUUAACUGGAGAAUAGCCCCUCGAAAGAGGGAUUAAUACUCCGUAACAUACUGAUAAGGCAUCUUAUUAAUAUUAUAGCUCCGGCGGUUAAAGAUGGGCGUGCGACUGAUUAGAUAGUUGGCGGGGAACGGCCCACCAAGUCUGCGAUCAGUAACUGGUGUGAGAGCACGACCAGUCACACGGGCACUGAGACACGGGCCCGACUCCUACGGGAGCAGCAGUAAGGAAUAUUGGUCAAUGGACGCAAGUCUGAACCAGCCAUGCCGCGUGGAAGGAUUUAAGGCCCUCUGGGGUUGUAAACUCCUUUUAUCGUGGGAAGAAAUGCUAUUUUUUCUAAAGUGCUUGACGGUACCAGAGGAAUAAGCACCGGCUAACUCCGUGCC